rnacentral:rRNA from 1 species
GAUGAACGCUGGCGGCGUGCUUAACACAUGCAAGUCGAACGAGAAGUGAAGACGGAAACCUUCGGGCGGAAGGCUUUAUUUCGAGUGGCGGACGGGUGAGUAACGCGUGGGUAACCUGCCUCAUACAGGGGGAUAACAGUUGGAAACGACUGUUAAUACCGCAUAAGACCACAGCACCGCAUGGUGCGGGGGUAAAAACUCCGGUGGUAUGAGAUGGACCCGCGUUCGAUUAGCCAGUUGGCGGGGUAACGGCCCACCAAAGCGACGAUCGAUAGCCGAUCUGAGAGGAUGACCGGCCACAUUGGAGCUGAGACACGGCCCAAACUCCUACGGGAGGCAGCAGUGGGGAAUAUUGCACAAUGGGGGAAACCCUGAUGCAGCGACGCCGCGUGAGUGAAGAAGUAUUUCGGUAUGUAAAGCUCUAUCAGCAGGGGAGAAAAUGACGGUACCUGAGUAAGAAGCCCCGGCUAACUACGUG